UUUUCCCCAUUUCCCCUCACCAACCCUGACAGAACGAACUGGCCAAAUUAGAGGACUCAGCGGAAAUGGGACUAUUUCUGCGCCCAGCUUGCUCCCAGCAUGAAGGACCCAUCGACCAACCCCCAGCCAGAGGACUGUCUCACAGGCAGAACCAUCGCCCCUUUGGCAUCUACGCCGAGGAUCUUCUCGAGGCAGUCCGGGGGCUUGGGUUCAGUGAGACCACCCUCAUCCACAUCUUUCUGGCUGGAUUGGAUGAGCCAUUCGAUUGGGAGGAGCUGGGUAAUAUCGGGACAUGGACAUAUUGGGAGGUGGUGGACUAUUCCUGUCUGAGGAUGGAGAGGGAGCUCCUGGAGGGGGAAUGGACCCCUCUCACCACCACCACCAGCACCAUCUCCUGGUCCAUGUCCAGCCCCCAAGGGUUAACCCGCACCCAAAAGCGGAGGCGGAAGAGAAAGGCCUCUUCUGCGAGGGUUGCUCCAGCCCCUGAGCGCCCUCCAGUUGUCGGCUCCAGCCCCUGAGCGCCCUCCAGUGUCGGCUCCAGCCCCUGAGCGCCCCUCAGUGCCGGUCCCAGUCCGGCUCCUUGCCCUGCCGGCACCACCCAGACGUCUUGCCCAGCCGGCCCCAGCCCGGCUCCUUGCCCAGCCGGCCCCAGCCCGGCUCCUUGCCCAGCCGGCCCCAGCCCGGCUCCUUGCCCAGCCGGCACCAUCCCGGCUCCUUGCCCUGCCGGCACCACCCAGACGUUUAGCCCUGCCGGCCCCAGUCCGGCUCCUUGCCCUGCCGGCACCACCCAGACGUUUUUCCCUGCCGGCACCACCCAGACGUCUUGCCCUGCCGGCUUCAGCCCGGCUCCUAGCCCUGCCGGCACCACUCAGACGUCUAGCCCAGCCGGCCCCAGCCCGGCUCCUUGCCCUGCCGGCACCUACCAGACGUCUAGCCCUACCGGCCCCAGCCCGGCUCCUUGCCCUGCCGGCACCACCCAGACGUCUUGCCCAGCCGGCCCCAGCCCGGCUCCUUGCCCUGCCGGCACCACCCAGACGUCUUUCCCUGCCGGCACCACCCAGACGUCUUUCCCUGCCGGCACCACCCAGACGUCCAGCCCUGCCGGCCCCAGCCCGGCUCCUUUCCCUGCCGGCACCUACCAGACAUUUAGCCCUGCCGGCCCCAGCCCGGCUCCUUGCCCUGCCGGCCCCAACCAGACGUCUAGCCCUGCCGGUCCCAGCCCGGCUCCUUGCCCUGCCAGCCCCCCACAGACCUCUGGUCUUGUUUCCCCUCAUAGACACUCCCUGGGUCGUCCCUCCUGCCCCUCCCUGGUGUUCCUUUCCUCCACCCUGGACGGACCCUCCGGCUCCACCCUGGUUCCCUGCUAGGGCUCUCGACCCGCUGGACCCACCCUGGACAGUUCCUCCGGUCCCACCCUGGACUGAUCCUCCCUUGUCUUGCCCUCCCAUCCCUCCCUUGUUUGUCGUUUUGGGUCUGGCUUGGCUUCCCUCCCUCCCCCCCUUCAUGUUGUCUUGCCUGUUCACCUCCCUGUCUUGUGUCUGUUGAUGAUGUUGCCUGUUUUGUUGUCUUGUAGUGUCUUGUACCUUGUUGGAUGUUCCCUUUAGGGACGCCAGGUGGCGUCCCUUUUGGGGGGGCUAGUGUCAGGGUUCUGCCACUUUGGUCUUGUAAAUUCUUGUUUUGGUGGCAGAGCUCUGACACUACUCCAUGUCUGGUCCUGUUUCUUUCUCUGUGUGCGCGCGCGCGCCAUCAUGGGUGUACGCAGAGUGUGCGCGCUGCCACUUGAUGUGGCCGCGCACGCUCUGCGUCCCUCAGACGCGCGCGCUCUUGUACUAGUGUUUGUGUUUGUUCUGUCAGCAGCGCGCUGCUUUAUUCUCAGCGCCUCCGUCUAGUUGGUUUCAGUUUUGGUUGGCGCUGGGAUGAAGCAUGUGCGUUGCUUAUGUGUGAGCGCACGGUUAGGUGUUUAUCUAUCGUGUGCUCGUGUCUUGCGUCUCUUGUCAAAGCACGUGGCUCGGUGUUUACAUUGUGGUCACGUGCUUUUGUCGUGUGCUUCAGUGUUGUGUUUGUUGUCAUGAACAUGCGGUUAAUGAGUUCUCUCAUUGGCUGCAUGUUCUUGUUGUGUUAUGUGAGCGCAUGGCUUGUAUUGUCUCUCUGUGUCAUGCGCUCUCCCGUCUAUUGUCUUGUCCCACCCUCCUUGUUAACCCAUUAUUAGUUAAUUGUGUUCACCUGUUUGUGUGUUAAUCUUCUACAGUUUAUAUACCCCUCACUUUUGCUGUCCUGUGUCAGUUCGUCAUCACAUUUCGUCGUUUGAAGUCUAGUCCUGUUGUGUUUCCAGUCCUCAUCCUUGCCAGUCUGCCCAGUCCUGUUUGUAUGUGUAUGUAUUUGUUUUGUUAAUGUUUUCCCCCUCGGGGUAGUUUAUUUUGCAUUUUAUUUUAUUUUUAUUAUUUAAUAAAAUCCCAUUUCCCUGCA
ensembl:lincRNA